GUCAGAAAUGUUGCAACUUGCUAUCCUGCCUGAAAAAAUGGCUUCAGUUGGAGCUCUGUCAGUCUGCUCCCUUAACUAAGUCUAAUCACCAUUCUUUCUUACUUUCAGCAGAACAGCUAAGAAGGACUGCAAAACAAGAUGACCAUAAAUUACAGUAUCUGUUGAAGACAUUUUCUGUUCUGAUCUCUUACAUUUUUGGGUUGGAAUUUUAUGGAUGCUUCCAUGUUUAAUUAUAAUCAUGCAUGGACUUUUCUCUUAAAAUCACUGUUUUUCCUGUAAUGGUUCUCCAAGUUUCUUUAUAUAAUUAAUGUAUCAUUCCAGGACUAAAUUUGAAAAGGUCAUAGGGGAUGAUUCAACUAUGCACUUGCUUAUUAUGAAGUUUCUGUUAGGAAUUGGGAUGCAAACCUACGCAUAGAAGGAAUUUGAAACCACACAUGGAAAACAGUAAACACCCAGCCCAGAGCAUCAAAUGAGGGGAGCAGCUGCUGACCCCCUGCGCACUGCCAGCUGGAGAAGCCAGAGAAGCUUGAUCCAUGCAGUGAUCAGCCAGCAAUGACAGUGAACCUGAAACAGGAUCUUAGAGGAAGACUCGAGCAUUAAGGAGAAAACUACUUUACACCUUUAGUAAAGAUCUUUUCAUAUGGUUGAGAUGUUAUUGUGAUCCAAUCUUGCUAGUAGGGGGGUAUGACAGAAGAGUAGUAAGAAUUAAGCCCUUCAUUUGCGUUAGAUACAUACAAAACCCACAGAAUCACACAAUCUUCAGUAGUUAGAAUUUCUAAUAAUAUAAGAUAGUAAAUCUCACAUAUUUUCAAGGUGCUGUAAGGCAUUAACUAAUCAAUUUUCAUAUUUCAUCUGGAAGAGGUAAAAACAUGUAAAGUUAGGUUAACUCAGACAAGAUCAUACAAGUUGUAUAAGUAAUUACAUCAUGACUAAGGCAGAGACUGACUUCUGCAAAUUAAUACUUAAUCCACUUCCUCUUUUAAGGUAAAACACUAUAUCAUGUAUUGAAUUCUAAAUGCUUUUGCUGGUGAGUUAACUGUUUUAUAGAGAACUGCAAAUUUUACCAUCCACUGUUAUACGGACAAAACCAUAGAAAUGUGUAUGGAAUUUGAAAUGAAAUCAGAGAAUUGUGUGGUCAAUGAGGGAUAUAAAAAACAACAACAAAACCAACAACACACACACACAUCAAGAAGUGACUCAAUCACUCAUAUUUUUCAUUCCUUAAAUUUCUUUCUUUCUUUGAAUUUUGAGAAGAAAACCCAGUACUAUUACUUUUAUCUUCAAUAAACACCAUUGAGAAUACUUUCAGCUAUCUUUAAGCCUAGUACAGGCUGGUGUUAUUUUGUGUGUGAAGCUUGUUUAAAGGCAAAAUAGUAUUAUCUGUGCCUAUGUUUUUCUUUCAUGAAGAAGAAUUUCUUUAUAUCCCUAUCAAGUAAAUUAUUUCUAGAACAAGUAAAAAUUUUAUAGUGAUAUAAAGGUUAAGUGCUCACAGGCAUAAACAUUCCAUGGGAAGGGAUUUAUUUAUUUAUUUAGACAAACUCUGUCUAUGUCUACAGUAGCUACGUGGUCUGUUCAUUGUAGCCCAAUGAGAGCAGAUCUGUAGAGCAAAGCAGACAGUGCAAACAUCUACUUCAUAUAUUACAUAUAAAGUGUGUCAUGUCAAGGGAUUUUAUUUUAGAAUGGCUCUAGUGUGGUACAAAUUUAGACUAGUCAUAGUAGCUGGUAUGAAUUAGGUGUGAAUCUUCUGUUUUAGACACAUUUUAAAGGAAUGCAGUGUAUGUUGUAGCAAAGCACAGCAAGAAGGGAUAGUUGGCAAAUUGUCGGCAAUGGUAAGCUCCUCAUCUGAACUAAAAUGUUAAUAUAUCCUGUAGCUUGUGGGAAUCAACUGUAAGGAAAGAAAAACAAACCACCAAACUAUCAGGACAUGUCAAGCAGAUUAUGACCCACAGAUAGAGAGCAAGUAGAGGAUGGUCUGUACUCCCAGCAUUUCACUAGGUGUAAAA